AGUUCGAUUAUGGCUCAGAUUGAACGCUGGCGGGAUGCUUUACACAUGCAAGUCGAACGGCAGCACGGGCUUCGGUCUGGUGGCGAGUGGCGAACGGGUGAGUAAUGUAUCGGAACGUGCCUAGUAGCGGGGGGAUAACUUACGCGAAAGCGUAGCUAUUACUGCCAUACUCCUUCAGGAAAACAGGAGGACGCCCCGAGCCUGCACCUCUGUAGAGCGGCCGAUAUCCGGAUUAGCUGGUUGGUGGUAACGGCUCACCAAGGCGACGAUCCGUAGCUUUGAUUUGAGAGGACGACCAGCCACACUGGGACUGAGACACGGCCCAGACUCCUACCGGGGAAACGGCAAUCGAAAUUUUGGACAAUGGGGGAAACCCUGAUCCAGCCAUCCCUUGUUGUCGAUGAAGGCAUGGUUAGCGCCGCUUUUGGCAGGGGAAAGAAACGGCGCAGGAUAAUACCCCAUGCAACUGACCAGUACCUGCAGAAUAAGCACCGGCUAACUACGUGCCGCCAGCGCGUGGCGAGGUGGCGUUAAUCAAGAUUACUGGGCGUAAAGCGUGCGCCGUGACAGUUCGGAAAGAAGAUGUGAAAAUCUGGAGAACCCUUUGGAACUGCAUUUUUAACUACCGAGCUAGAGUGUGUCAGAGGGAGGUGGAAUUCCGCGUGUAGCAGUGAAAUACGUAGAUAUGCGGAGGAACACCGAUGGCGAAGGCAGCCUCCUGGGAUAACACUGACGCUCAUGCACGAAAGCGUGGGGAGCAAGCAGGUUAGAUACCCUGGUAGUCCGCGCCCUAAACAGUCAUCAGCUAGCUGUUGGGGCCUUCGAACAGCAGUGGCGCAACUAACGCGUGAAGUUGACCGCCUGGGUACGGUCGCAAGAUUCGACUCAAGGUGGCGGGGAUUGCUGGCGAUGGAUGAUGUGGAUUAAUUCGAUGCAACGCAGAAAAAACCCGCCACCUACCCUUGACAUGUCUGGAAUCCCGAAGAGAUUUGGGAGUGCUCGCAAAGGUGGAACACAGGUGCUGCAUGGCUGUACGUCGAGCUCGGUGUAGUGAGAUGUUGGGUUAAGUCCCGCAACGAGCGCAACCCUUGUCAUUAGUUGCCACGAAGGGCACUCUAAUGAGACUGCCGGUGACAAACCGGAGGGUGGGAUGAAAACGUCAAGUCCUCAUAUUCACUAUGGUGAACUGCGUCAUACAAUGGUCAGGACAGAGGGUCGCCAACCCACGAGGGGGAGCCAAUCCCAGAAACCCGAUCGUAGUCGGAUCACCAGUCUGCGCUCGACUAAUGAAGUCGGUGUGGCUGGCUGCGGAUCAGCAUGUCGCGGUGGUGACUCACGUUCCCGGGUCUUGUACACACCGCCCGUCACACCAUUGCAGGGUGGGUUUUACCAGAAGUAGUUAGCCUAACCGUAAGGAGGGCGAUUACCACGGUAGGAUUCAUGACUGGGGUGAAGUCGUAACAAGGUAACCCUGUUACUACCU
rnacentral:rRNA from 1 species